GACGAACCGUGCGAACGUUAUUCGGAAUCACUGGGCUUAAAGCGCGUGUAGGCGGGACGGCACGUCGGUCGUUGAAAUCCCCCGGCUCAACCGGGGAACGGGCGCCGAUACGACCGUCCUGGAGGGACGUAGGGGGACCUGGAACUUCCGGUGGAGCGGUGAAAUGCGUUGAGAUCGGGAGGAACACCAGAGGCGAAAGCGGCGACCUGGACAGGUACUGACACUCAACUACGAAAGCGUGGGGAGCAAACAGG
rnacentral:rRNA from 1 species